UAAUUCUAAAUCCAUCGAUUCUUGAAUCAAUUUGGUUAAAAUUUCUUGACGGUUUUUUGUUUUUCUUGAUUCAGAUUCUGAUGAUUUUGCAGAGGAAGAUGGACCGGUUGAGUUGCACAAAUCGGCAAGGUUACGAGAUCGAUGAGUGAAGAAGGAUCAAGAUCAUCGGGAUUGGGAUCGGGACUGAGACCAAUCGAAUCGGGACUGAGGAAACUAGCCGAUUGAGUGAAUACUGUGUUUCUGGUAAUCAGAUUGAGUAAAUAUUGGGUUUCUGGUAAUCGAGUUGCUACAUUAGUGAAGGGAUUUUAUCUAGGGUUUCGAGCCUGUUAAAGCUCCUUCUCAGAUGAUCACAGAUGCAAACAUUCUUUUUGUUACAACUGCGGAUCUCCUCUAAUAACCCACUACUGUAGUAAAUGCAGAUGUAUCAUCAUCACCAUCAUCAAGGAAAGAACAUCCACCCCUCCUCAAGAGGGUCCAUUCCUCCAGAAAGGCAUUUGUUCCUGCAAUGGGGGAAUGGUGCAGGAGAUUCUGGACUUGUACCUUCGACCAAUACAAAGCCUAGACUGAAAUGGACAAAAGACCUCCAUGAGCAGUUCAUAGAAGCAGUAAAUCAGCUUGGAGGAGCAGACAGUGAGUGCAUACAACAUAAUAAGUUUAAGAAGAAACCAAAGGAAAAAUGUCUAAUGCUCAACUAAUUGAAAUAUCUCUUCUUUGUUACAGAUAUUUCAAUUAGUUUUGAAACUUAUUAGUUGAGAUAUUCUUUGUCUCAGAUUUUUAUUUUUAUUUUUAGGGGAUUUUCAUAUUCAUAUACUUGUAUAUAAGCACACAGAUUAAGAAUAACUCCUCCAAUUUUGGU